UACGGAGGAUCCGAGCGUUAUCCGGAUUUAUUGGGUUUAAAGGGUGCGCAGGCGGGAUGUUAAGUCGGCGGUGAAAUUUUGCAGCUCAACUGUAAAAGUGCCUUCGAUACUGGCUUCCUUGAGUGUGGAUGAAGUAGGCGGAAUUUGUGGUGUAGCGGUGAAAUGCUUAGAUAUCACGAGGAACUCCGAUUGCGCAGGCAGCUUACUAAACCACUACUGACGCUCAUGCACGAAGGCGUGGGGAUCAAACAGGAUUAGA
rnacentral:rRNA from 1 species